UAGGGAAUCUUCCACAAUGGACGAAAGUCUGAUGGAGCAACGCCGCGUGAGUGAAGAAGGGUUUCGGCUCGUAAAACUCUGUUGUUAAAGAAGAACAUAUCUGAGAGUAACUGUUCAGGUAUUGACGGUAUUUAACCAGAAAGCCACGGCUAACUACGUGCCAGC
rnacentral:rRNA from 1 species